rnacentral:lncRNA from 1 species
CAGAGCAGGACCUGUCGCUCCACAGAGUCACCAGUGCUGGGAAAUUCCCACUGAGACCUGGCUGGGGCAGCUUUGUCACCUGCACGUGCUCUGAACCUCCCUGGUGGUUUGAGGAGCAGCAGGAGACACCUGGCUCCAGAGGAGACGACUCUGACUGGAACCAAGAGGGAAACAACAAAUUUCAAAAGGGAAAAAAACACAACAGAGUUGUUUGAAUUUGCAAAUACAUCUGUGCUGUCAAAAAUCUUUGCUCCCUGGUUUGGUCCCAUGCCCCAGUCCCCACACUUCUCUGAUAAUAUUUG